GGGGCUGAUUUGGUUUCGACAGGACUAUUAGAAUUUAGAUUGCAAGUCGUAGAAAUACGUAAAAUUUAAAAAUAUCUGGAAACAGAAAUGCUUUAGCUUUUGCCUAAUUUAGAAAGGUAAGCGUUCCAUUAAUUUCGUUGUUUGCGCGAUUUUCUUGGGAUUCAUUUUUGCAAACUAUAUUAUUUUAUUGUUUAGGUAAAAUAAUGAAUGUUACUAAACUAGCUACAUAUUUGUUUGUUAAUUAGCUUAUUAUGCAGUGAAAUUUAUUAAUUAACUAAGCUUGUAGUAAUCUAUCUAUCUGUAGUUUUGGACAGGAGUUCAAUUCUCCUCAGCUCCACCA
rnacentral:tmRNA from 1 species